AUUCAGGCCUGUCCGCUCGGAUUAGCAGGCGCUCACGACUCAAUGUGCCGCGAUAUUUCAUGUCCAGCGCAGCGGCUGGCCCCGGGCAGUCAUGCUGGGCACAAAGCUGAAACUGCGGCCAGAACUGGAUAUUGAAAAGGUCCAGCUGCACCUGCGGGUCCAGCUCCAGGCAGCCUGUCUGCUCUGUCCACCUGCCCGGUACCUACUCCACACCUUCUGGACCCGUGUACCUCACAAGAAGUCUUCAAGUCAGGUGCUGUUGGCCCUCCAACUCUGUUCUGUUCCUCUUUCUUUCUUUCUUUCUUUCUUUCUUUGUAAGUUGAUUUGGUUAUUUAAACCCUUUGCAUUUGGGGUUGAAUAUUCAAAUCAGGUUUUUAAUUUCUACCUCAAAUACAAAUCCUCUGUGAUUUGUAUUGGUAUUGCAUUAAAAUUAAAGAUGACUUUGGGGAGAAUUUAGUGUUCUGACCCAUGAAUGGGGCUCUCUCUCCACUUAUUGAGGUCUUUGAUUACCCUCAGAAAUUUUUAAUAAGGCCUCUACAUAUUUUGUCAAGUUUAUCUCUAAGUAUAUCUGAUGUUGGAAGUGAUGUUCUUAGAUUUCAAUUUCCAGUUAUUUGUUGCUAGUGUAUAGAAACGCAAUUGGUUUUUAUGUGUCAACCCUUGUAUUUUGUAGUUUUUGUAGGUAUUUUGAAUAUGCCAUAGGAUUUUCAGCGAGGAUAAUUAUGUCACCUACAAAUUAGGAGUUUUAUUUCGUCAGAUCAUUUGUUACCAAGUGGAAGGGAAGUGGGCAGAGUGGACAUCGCUGUCUUGUCCCAGUAUCAGGACCACGCUUCAGCCUUUCAUUGUUGAGUGCUGUGUUACCUGAAGCCUGGGCAUGUGCCCUUCAGCAAAUUACAGAAGUUCCCUUCUUGGACAGUUCAUUGAAAAUUUUGAUCAGGAAAGAAUGUUAAAUUUUGUAAAUGCUUUUUCUGGAGCUAUUAAGAUCUUGUGGGUUGUCCAUUUUGGACUAUUAGUGGUGAACUGUACUACCUAACAUUUCUAUUUUUUUUUUUUUGGUACCAGGUAUCAAACUCCAGACCUUGGGCUUGUGAGGCAGGUGGUGGAACCACUGAGCUAAAUCCUGGGCCCUAACAUUUCUAAUUUUUUUUGUUUUGUUUUUUUGGUACGAGGGAUUGAAUUCAGGACCUUGCGCUUGCAAGGCAGGCUCCGGAACCACUGAGUUAAAUCCCUGGCCCAACAUUUCUAAUGUUAAACCAGCCAUCGUUCCUGGGAUAAACCCAUCAUGGUUUAGUAUCUUUUGGAUGCCUUUUUUGGGGCUCAGUUUGCCUGUUUUUGUUAAGAAUUUCUGCAUCUAUCCAAGUAUAGUGGUGCACAGGAAGAUCACAAGUUUGAGGCCAGCCUGAGCAACUUAACCAUCCCAUGUCUCAAAGUUUAAAACUAAAAAAAAAACAGUUCUGGGCCGGGGAUUUAGCUCAGUGGUUCCACUGCCUGCCUUGCAACCGCAAGGACCCAAGUUCAAUCCCUGGUACCAAAAGAAUAAAUAAAUAAAUUUUUAAAAAUAAAAAGGUCCUGGGAUAUAGCUUAGUGGUAGAGUGCCCCUGGGUUCAAUCCCAGUAGCAGAGGAGGGCAAUUUCUGCACGUGUGUGACAGGUUUGUCAUUGUCUUUUCUCAUAAUGCUUGUUUGUUUUGGGCAUCAGAAUAAUGCUUGCUUCAUAAAAUGAGUUUGGAAUUAUUCCUUCCUUCUCAGUUUUCUGAAAGAGAUUGUGUGGAACUGGUGUUAUUUUAAUUACAGAUUCAAUUCCUUGAAUGUGGAGCUAUCCAGGGUCCCCCUUUCUUUUUGAUGAGCAAUAGAGGUUUGUAUUUCACAGAGCUCAUCCAUUUACUCUAAGUUCGCACACUUCCUGGCUUAGAGUUGCUCCUGAUAGUCCCUGAUUGCCCUUCUGCGCUGGACUCUGCGAUGCCCCUUCUUCCACUCCCAGUGUCACUGAUCUGUGACUUUCACUGUGGUGACCCCAUGAUCCAUGUGGCUCCUCGGUCGGUCUCUAUGGCCCAGUUUUCUCCGUGUUGUGGUCCCUACCCUUCCUCCCUGUGUGCUGGGGACCCUGCCCUGGUGACAGGCACUGUGGCUCUGACCUGCAGGGAGCUGGUUUUCCCUGGACUCUGGGCCGUGUCCUGUGUGCAGGUUUCCUGGGAGCAGCGAGCCUUGCGCUUCCUUUCAGCCUUGCCCAGUGGGACCAGGGCAGCGUGGAAUCCGGGGGCAGCAGCAUGCUGCAUCAGCGGCACGGGCCUCGUCUGGCAAUCGACGCCCUGCAAAGGAGGGUGUUUUCAAGCUCGAGCUUUGGGAGCAGGGGUUCAUGUCUGGUGUGAGGCCUGGUAACAUUUCUCUCCCACCUUGGGGGGUGACUUCCUCGGCGCUGGGCGGCUCCCCAUGCCCCAUGCUGGCUGAGGUCCAGGUAGGUUCUCAGGGGCCCUUGCUGGGUGCGUGUUCGGGCUCCGUGCUGCUUACCACACACCGGGCAUGGGGCUUCCAUGCCCUUUCCCAGCCUGGUCACUGCCUCAAGUGGCAGUGCCCAGUCCUUAGGAAUUCCUGGGGGAGAGUGAGCUUGGGCCUGCUACUCUAGAGCAUCACCUUUCUACUAAAGCCAUCCACACGUAUUCAUGUCCGGGUGAUGGGGUUCGCUGUGAUAGUCCCACACAUGCACACGCUGUCCUUUGAUCAUGUUUGUCCACCUCAGGAAGAGGCAUAUUUAAUGACUUCGAGAACAAGAAUGGAGCAGCUGUUGGCACCACUUCCACAGCACACCGGGAUCCCAGUCGGGCAAGAAGUCCAAAGUAUGAGAGUUGGUACCGUGAAAAAAGGCUGUUUCCAAACAUGAGUUUGUACGUAGGAAACACCUACAGGAAGCUGUUGGAAUUAGCAGGAUGUGAAAAUCGCUCGGGAUAAGGGAAGAGAUUGGCCGGUCUGACUCAGACCAAUAACUUCUGUGCAAGCAAGGACAUCUGUGAGGCCCAGAAGCACUGUUUGCUGCACACCACUUACAGCUCUGCACUGGAGCAGAAAGCACUCACACGAGACCCCCAAAGCAAACACACAGCAGAAGACGAGCCAGUCUGCACGUGAGCAGGACCUGGGCCACACUCCCCAGAGCACCUGAACAACUGCUCAGCACAACCCGCCAGGGAGAUGCAAACUAAACCAUGAAGAAAGAUCCCCGACCCAUCAGCCAGCACGCCGGGCUGGCACAGUGGGCGUGGCUCAGACCCAGAGCAGCACAAAGGUACCCUGCCCGAGCAGGUGAGUGUGCCGGGGAAACGCUUCACAGUGUGCGUCCGACCCAGAGCAGCGCCAACCCCAUCACUCCUGGCGUUUGCUCCAGAGAAGUGGGGAUGGGCCAGCGAUGUAGCUCAGUGGUUCCGCUACCUGCCUCACAAGCGAAAGGACCCUAGUUCAAUCCCUGGCACCAAAAAGAGAGAGAGAGAGAGAGAAGUGCAGAGCAGCUGCAUCCAUGAAGCUUUCUCCUCAGCCACCUGAGCCUGGAGCCACCACACACCGCAGCCAAGGAGGGGCUGGGGGUGUGCUCCUCAGGCCUAGCCGAGCAAGGGCACAGUGGGACAUCAGCACUGGUCACAGGUGCAGGGAGCAGGGACCAGCAGGUGGCUCGGGAGGCUGCUGAGAGCUGGAGUGUUCCACGGAGAAGUUUAGGCAGCAGGUCUGCGGGGCGCAGGCGCCUUCGAUUUCUGCACCGUGCCCUAGGUCAGCCAGGCCUCAAUGAACAAUUUAGGGUUUAAAAUGGCAGCUGAGUGCAAGCAUUCACUGCCUCUCUAAAAUGAGGGAGAGCUUUUAAGAGAGGUGCUGGGUGGCCAGGCAGUGACUGCUGACCGUGAGUCCUCUACGUGUGCCUCAGAGCUAGGAGGGCUGGCAGCUGGAGGCCCGGGGCCUCAGAGCAGGGGGGCUGAAGUGGGGUCUCAGAGGCUUUCUGCAGAGCAGGUAUCUGGCACUGCCGAGGACAGGACAGAGGCCGUGGAUGUCUGUUUUCUGUUGCUCUAACGAAAUACUCGAAGCUGGGUACUGAACAAGUUUUACUGAGCUCACAGUUUUGAGAGCUGAAAGUCCACAGUCCGGCACCUGCUGGUCGGAUUUGGCACCUCAUUCCCUGGCAUGGUAAGGGCUGGUUCCCGGACCACCCCACUCCUCAAAGCCUCUCUCACAGCACUGCAACCACACCAGACCACAGCAGGCUGGCGCCGAGCCUGGCCUCACGGCCCGCACCCCAGCAGCUGCGUGGAUGCAUCUCUGCCCGGGCUCCUGGCUGCGACCACCCUUGAGAGCUCAGACCCCCUCAGACACAGCAGCCUUGAGGUGUGGCUGGCACGCGCGCGGCACACAGACCCCCAAGCCAGGCCUCAGGAGCGGGAGACAAGGCGUGAGCCAGAGCUGUGAACAGCUUGGAGAGGUGCCAGGGCACCGAAGAGGCCCAGGCCCUGGGAUGCCUCUGGCAGACAAGUGUGGCUGCACACGAAGAGCUCAGUGAGGGUUGGGGCAGUCGGUCUGCAGGUGUCUUCCCAAAGGUGGUGAAAAAGAAGUAAGCAGAGAAAAGGAAACUGGGGAAGGUUUUAAAGAUUAGAUUCUGUCAAGGAGGUGCAGCGUCCAGAGGACAGCAGCCCCAGGUAGAGCAAGCACGGGACGGAGCCAGGAGACAGCGGAGAUGGAGCAGGGGUGGAAGGUAGGGAGGCCCAGGCAGAGACGCAGAGGCUGCACUGCACAGCGCCAAGGCCCUCAGGGCCUCCAGGGGAGCAGGCCCCACUGCGCAGGAGAGGCCUCAGCAUCCCUGCUGCAGUUCCUGGUGUCGGCCCAGAGCCACAGCUCUGAGCUUCCCUGUCAUUUCCACGGUGCUUUCAGCGGCUUUGCUCAGGGACAGCCAGGAGAGGGGGCCUCGGUGGGUGUGGGAGAGGCACGGUGGAUCCUGAUCACCCUAGGAGGAGAAGUUGGUCCUCACAGCCAUAGGGAUGUGAAGGGGGAGGGAACAAAACCAACAGCCCCAGCUAAGUGUCCCCGGACAGCAGUAGGGUGGCUCCACAGUGGCCUGCAAGUGCAGCCUGUGUGAGUCUGACCACUGUCUUGGGGGGUGGCGUUGCCUGUGCUACGAGUGGUUUGUGGAGGAGCGUGUGCACUGGGGACCCAUGGGGACCCCCGCUGGCGCCAGGCCCAGGCUGGGCAGCUCCGGGCAGUCAGACCCCUCUGCACAUGCCACCAAGGCCCACGUGCUGCCAGGCAGGAGGCCAUGCGGGCCUGGCAGGGAACUCCAGGCUGCUAGG